GACGUAGGGUGCGAGCGUUGUCCGGAUUUAUUGGGCGUAAAGAGCUCGUAGGCGGCUCGUCGCGUCGACCGUGAAAACCCGCGGCUUAACUGCGGGCUUGCGGUUGAUACGGGCGGGCUAGAGUUCGGUAGGGGAGACUGGAAUUCCUGGUGUAGCGGUGAAAUGCGCAGAUAUCGGGAGGAACAUCAGUGGCGAAGGCGGCUACCUGGCCCAAUACUGACACUCAGGUGCGACAGCGUGGGGAGCAAACAGG
rnacentral:rRNA from 1 species